UGGGGAAUAUUGGACAAUGGGGGAAACCCUGAUCCAGCGACGCCGCGUGGGUGAAGAAGGCCUGCGGGUUGUAAAGCCCUUUCGGUGGGGAUGAAAAGCCUUGGUCUAACACACCAGGGUCUUGACCUAACCCAAGAAAGAAGCACCGGCUAACUCUGUGCCAGCAGCCGCGGUAAUACAGAGGGUGCGAGCGUUAAUCGGAAUUACUGGGCGUAAAGCGCGCGUAGGCGGCUUUGCAAGUCGGAUGUGAAAUCCCCGGGCUUAACCUGGGAACUGCAUUCGAGACUGCUUUGCUUGAGUAUGGGAGAGGGAGGUGGAAUUUCCGGUGUAGCGGUGAAAUGCGUAGAUAUCGGAAGGAACAUCAGUGGCGAAAGCGACCUCCUGGACCAAUACUGACGCUCAUGUGCGAAAGCGUGGGGAGCAAACAGG
rnacentral:rRNA from 1 species